rnacentral:rRNA from 1 species
AUUGAACGCUGGCGGCAGGCCUAACACAUGCAAGUCGAGCGGAUGAAGGGAGCUUGCUCCUGGAUUCAGCGGCGGACGGGUGAGUAAUGCCUAGGAAUCUGCCUGGUAGUGGGGGAUAACGUCCGGAAACGGGCGCUAAUACCGCAUACGUCCUGAGGGAGAUAGUGGGGGAUCUUCGGACCUCACGCUAUCAGAUGAGCCUAGGUCGGAUUAGCUAGUUGGUGGGGUAAAGGCCUACCAAGGCGACGAUCCGUAACUGGUCUGAGAGGAUGAUCAGUCACACUGGAACUGAGACACGGUCCAGACUCCUACGGGAGGCAGCAGUGGGGAAUAUUGGGCAAUGGGCGAAAGCCUGAUCCAGCCAUGCCGCGUGUGUGAAGAAGGUCUUCGGAUUGUAAAGCACUUUAAGUUGGGAGGAAGGACAGUAAGUUAAUACCUUGCUGUUUUGACGUUACCAACAGAAUAAGCACCGGCUAACUUCGUG